UAUACCGUGAAACUGCGAAUGGCUCAUUAAAUCAGUUAUCGUUUAUUUGAUAGUACCUUACUACUUGGAUAACCGUGGUAAUUCUAGAGCUAAUACAUGCUUAAAACCCCAACUUCGGGAGGGGUGUAUUUAUUAGAUAAAAAACCAACGCCCUUCGGGGCUUCUUGGUGAUUCAUGAUAACUUUACGGAUCGCAUGGCCUUGCGCCGGCGACGGUUCAUUCAAAUUUCUGCCCUAUCAACUUUCGAUGGUAAGGUAUUGGCUUACCAUGGUUUCAACGGGUAACGGGGAAUUAGGGUUCGAUUCCGGAGAGGGAGCCUGAGAAACGGCUACCACAUCCAAGGAAGGCAGCAGGCGCGCAAAUUACCCAAUCCCGACACGGGGAGGUAGUGACAAUAAAUACUGAUACAGGGCUCUUUUGGGUCUUGUAAUUGGAAUGAGUACAAUUUAAACCUCUUAACGAGGAACAAUUGGAGGGCAAGUCUGGUGCCAGCAGCCGCGGUAAUUCCAGCUCCAAUAGCGUAUAUUAAAGUUGUUGCAGUUAAAAAGCUCGUAGUUGAAACUUGGGUCUGGCUGGCAGGUCCGCCUCACCGCGUGUACUUGUCCGGCCGGGCCUUCCUUCUGGAGAACCUCAUGCCCUUUACUGGGCGUGUUGGGGACCAGGACUUUUACUUUGAAAAAAUUAGAGUGUUCAAAGCAGGCCUUUGCUCGAAUACGUUAGCAUGGAAUAAUAGAAUAGGACGUGCGGUUCUAUUUUGUUGGUUUCUAGGACCGCCGUAAUGAUUAAUAGGGACAGUCGGGGGCAUCAGUAUUCAAUUGUCAGAGGUGAAAUUCUUGGAUUUAUUGAAGACUAACUACUGCGAAAGCAUUUGCCAAGGAUGUUUUCAUUAAUCAGUGAACGAAAGUUAGGGGAUCGAAGACGAUCAGAUACCGUCGUAGUCUUAACCGUAAACUAUGCCGACUAGGGAUCGGGCGAUGUUCUUUUUUUGACUCGCUCGGCACCUUACGAGAAAUCAAAGUU
rnacentral:rRNA from 1 species